rnacentral:lncRNA from 1 species
CUAGUGUCCUUCACCGCCCGAGUCCUUGAUCCCUCCAAGCGUCUCCGAGUUGGUGAACUUGUGUCCUUCACCGGGGGGGCUUGGGCCCAAGUCCUUAAUCCCUCCAAGCGUCUCCGAGUUGGUGAACUUGUGUCCAGCUUGCUUGAUGGCCCCAAGUGACAACCCGUCGAAGAACCCUCCGCAGGCAACUCCCACUGGAGCUUUCGGCUCCAUCACAUUGAAGGGUCGAGCUCCGUUCGCAACGAAAGUGGGGCUGAGCAUCGCCAGGACCAAGAGAAUGUGGAGAGCCCUUGUUGUGCUCCUCAUGUUCGAUGAAAUUACUGACAGAGACAAUAAAAAGCAAAUUUUUACCGACAGAGACAAUAAAGAGCAAAUGUUUUUAUUUGUUUGAAG